CAAAACGUAGCUUAACGAAAAGCAUUCAGCUUACACCUGAAAGAUGUCUGUUAAAUCAAGACUAUUUUGA
rnacentral:tRNA from 3 species